UGUGGGAGCCGGCUUGCCUGCGAUGCAGACACCUCGGUGCAACUGAUUUACCGGGUCGAUGCCAUCGCAGGCAAGCCAGCUCCCACA
rnacentral:misc_RNA from 1 species